AAACUUUUUAGUGUAAAACUGCACCCUUAAUUGCAAAUUAAGAAGUGGCCAUGGCCAAAAGUUUU
rnacentral:tRNA from 1 species